UACGAAGGGGGCUAGCGUUGCUCGGAUUACUGGGCGUAAAGGGCGCGUAGGCGGACAGUUAAGUCGGGGGUGAAAGCCCGGGGCUCAACCUCGGAAUUGCCUUCGAUACUGGCUGUCUUGAGUGUGAGAGAGGUGUGUGGAACUCCGAGUGUAGAGGUGAAAUUCGUAGAUAUUCGGAAGAACACCAGUGGCGAAGGCGACACACUGGCUCACUACUGACG
rnacentral:rRNA from 1 species